rnacentral:sRNA from 1 species
GGACAUCCAGCUACCGUCAUGGUGACCAAUCCACACUACCAGGGCCGAGACGGCUGUCAGAGCCUCAGAUCACUGUGAACUUUGAGAGUUCUGGGGAAGGUGCCUGCAGUAUGUCCCUGGUGUGCUCUGUGGAGAAGGCAGGCAUGGAUAUGACCUACAGCUGGCUCUCCCGGGGGCACAGCGCUUAUACAUUCCAUGAAGGCCCUGUCCUCAGCACAUCCUGGAGGCCAGGGGACAGUGCCCUCUCCUACACCUGCAGAGCCAACAACCCCAUCAGCAACGUCAGUUCUCGCCCCAUCCCUGAUGGGCCCUUCUGUGCAGAUCCUAACUAUGCUUCUGAGAAGCCUUCAAUAGCCUUCUGCCUCCUGGCCAAGGGAUUGCUCAUCUUCUUGCUCUUGGUAAUUCUGGCCAUGGGACUCUGGGUCAUCCGAGUCCAGAAAAGACACAAAAUGCCAAGGAUGAAGAAACUCAUGAGAAACAGAAUGAAAUUGAGGAAGGAGGCAAAGCCUGGCUCCAGCCCUGCCUGACUGCUCCUUGGGAACCCCAGUCCUGAGCUUGGUUUCUUCCCAGCACCCAGAGAAUCCUUCCUCAGCAAUCUUCUUUCCAGGGGAAGGAGGUGCUCAGGGGUGGGUAUCCAGAAAGCCAUACUUCUGAGGGAAGACUGGCUGGCAAUAAAGUCAAAUUAAGUGACCACAA